rnacentral:rRNA from 1 species
UCAGGCCUAACACAUGCAAGUCGAACGCUAUUUAUAGAGUGGCGCACGGGUGAGUAACGCGUGGGAACCUGCCUUUCUCUGUGGGAUAACGGUUGGAAACGACCGCUAAUACCGCAUACGCCCUACGGGGGAAAGGUCCGCCGGAGAAAGAGGGGCCCGCGUCUGAUUAGCUAGUUGGUGGGGUAAUGGCCUACCAAGGCUACGAUCAGUAGCUGGUCUGAGAGGAUGAUCAGCCACACUGGGACUGAGACACGGCCCAAACUCCUACGGGAGGCAGCAGUGGGGAAUCUUGCACAAUGGAGGAAACUCUGAUGCAGCGAUGCCGCGUGAGUGAAGAAGGCCCUUGGGUUGUAAAGCUCUUUCGUCGGGGAAGAAAAUGACUGUACCCGAAUAAGAAGGUCCGGCUAACUUCGUGCCAGCAGCCGCGGUAAUACGAAGGGACCUAGCGUAGUUCGGAAUUACUGGGCUUAAAGAGUUCGUAGGUGGUUGAAAAAGUUGGUGGUGAAAUCCCAGAGCUUAACUCUGGAACUGCCAUCAAAACUUUUCAGCUAGAGUAUGAUAGAGGAAAGCAGAAUUUCUAGUGUAGAGGUGAAAUUCGUAGAUAUUAGAAAGAAUACCAAUUGCGAAGGCAGCUUUCUGGAUCAUUACUGACACUGAGGAACGAAAGCAUGGGUAGCGAAGAGGAUUAGAUACCCUCGUA